GAACAAAGGCCUGGAGACUGGAGCGAGCUGCGUUCUUGGGGGUGGGGGGUGGGGCGGCAGCUGGAGAGUGGGGGCUUCCCCAGCGGGAGAGGGAGGACGAUUCUGGAUGGCUUCCCUCCUUGUGGACAGAGUGAGUCUCUGCUAUGAGAAAGGUGUUCUACAUACGGCUCGGGAGCCAGCAAGUGCGUAUGAAGCCCCUUCACAUGGCUAGUGGCAUCCUAAGGACCCGGCGACAAUUAGUCAUGGCGUCAUCGAACACCAGGCUGGAGGAGGUCUUGGAUGCCACAGCUCCUUUUGAAUUUCAAAGACGUUCAAAUCCCCAUCUGGCUGUUACACUUUUAGGCUAUUGAGAGUGAAAACAAGCACUGACAUGAACACCCAACCAGCUGCCGGUGACAUCGUCCCCUUCUGAGAUCUGAGGACAUGGAUACCCAACCACCUGCCGGUGACAUCGUCUCCUUCUGAGAUCUGAGGACAUGAACACCCAACCACCUGCCGGUGAUAUCGUCCCCUUCUGAGAUCUGAGGACGUGGAUAUCCAACCACCUGCCGGUGACAUUGUCUCCUUCUGAGAUCUGAGGACAUGGACACCAAACCACCUGCCGGUGACAUUGUCUCCUUCUGAGAUCUGAGGACAUGAACACCAAACCACCUGCCAGUGACAUCGUCCCCUUCUGAGAUCUGAGGACAUGGAUACCCAACCACCUGCCGGUGACAUCGUCUCCUUCUGAGAUCUGAGGACAUGGACACCCAACCACCUGCCGGUGACAUCGUCUCCUUCUGAGAUCUGAGGACAUGAACACCCAACCACCUGCCGGUGAUAUCGUCCCCUUCUGAGAUCUGAGGACGUGGAUAUCCAACCACCUGCCGGUGACAUUGUCUCCUUCUGAGAUCUGAGGACAUGGACACCAAACCACCUGCCGGUGACAUUGUCUCCUUCUGAGAUCUGAGGACAUGAACACCAAACCACCUGCCAGUGACAUCGUCCCCUUCUGAGAUCUGAGGACAUGGAUACCCAACCACCUGCCGGUGACAUCAUCUUCUUCUGAGAUCUGAGGACAUGGACACCCAACCACCUGCCGGUGACAUCGUCUCCUUCUGAGAUCUGAGGACAUGGACACCAAACCACCUGCCGGUGACAUCGUCUCCUUCUGAGAUCUGAGGACAUGAACACCCAACCACCUGCCGGUGAUAUCGUCCCCUUCUGAGAUCUGAGGACGUGGAUAUCCAACCACCUGCCGGUGACAUUGUCUCCUUCUGAGAUCUGAGGACAUGGACACCAAACCACCUGCUGGUGACAUUGUCUCCUUCUGAGAUCUGAGGACAUGAACACCAAACCACCUGCCAGUGACAUCGUCCCCUUCUGAGAUCUGAGGACAUGGAUACCCAACCACCUGCCGGUGACAUCAUCUUCUUCUGAGAUCUGAGGACAUGGACACCCAACCACCUGCCGGUGACAUCGUCUCCUUCUGAGAUCUGAGGACAUGGACACCAAACCACCUGCCGGUGACAUCGUCUCCUUCUGAGAUCUGAGGACAUGAACACCCAACCACCUGCCGGUGACAUCGUCCCCUUCUGAGAUCUGAGGACAUUGAUACCCAGCCACCUGCCGGUGACAUCGUCUCCUUCUGAGAUCUGAGGAUAUGGACACCAAACCACCUGCCGGUGACAUCGUCUCCUUCUGAGAUCUGAGGACAUGAACACCCAACCACCUGCCGGUGACAUCGUCCCCUUCUGAGAUCUGAGGACAUGGAUACCCAACCACCUGCCGGUGACAUCGUCUCCUUCUGAGAUCUGAGGACAUGGACACCCAACCUGCUGCUGGUGACAUCGUUCCCUUCUGAGAUCUGAGGACAUGGACACCAAACCACCUGCCAGUGACAUCGUCUCCUUCUGAGAUCUGAGGACAUGGACACCAAACCUGCUGCCGGUGACAUCGUCCCCUUCUGAGAUCUGAGGACAUGGACACCCAACCACCUGCCGGUGACAUCGUCUCCUUCUGAGGUCUGAGGACAGACACUCACAUGGACACCUAAACACCUGCCGAUGAUAUUGUCUCCUUCUGAAAUCUGAGGACAUGGACACCCAACCAGCUGCUGGUGACAUCAUCUCCUUCUGAGAUCUGAGGACAGACACUCACAUAGACGCCCAAUCAGCUGCUGGUGACAUUGUCUCCUUCUGAAAUCUGAGGGUUGGAACACAUUGGCCUGGCUCAGUGUUUCUCCAUGUGGUUUUGAGACCACCUGAGUUGGAACCGAUAUGGGUUCCCAGCCUCACGCCUGGAGAGCUGGAUUUUGCGAGUGUGAGGUUAGGUCCAGCAUCUGCAUGUGUAACGAGCUCCCAGGUGUUUCGUAGAUGCAUUAGGGCUUGAGAAGCUCCUUUCUAGCACCAUCUUCCUUUUUGCGCAUGAGGGAGUUCAGGUCCAGAGAAAUAAAGCAGCAAGGUUAGUGGCA
rnacentral:lncRNA from 10 species